UGUUUUGUGUUGUUCGGCGGGCGUAAGCCGAACUACAGUGGCUCUGAUUCUUGUUCCAGACAAGAUAUGUAGGCAUAAGGUGCGAUACCUUACCGAGCCCCUUCUUCUUAACCCCACCUGUGUGAUCCGGUAGCGUGUGUGUGUGAUGUAUGUUUAUAGCAACCUUAUCUUUCUAGAGCGUGGAUCCCGUCGAGUACGACGGACGUGAGGGGUGCUAAUAC
rnacentral:lncRNA from 1 species